CCAGGGACUCCAGGAUCAUGACCUGAGCCGAAGGCAGUCGCUUAACCAACUGAGCCACCCAGGCGCCCCACCUUGAAAUUUUAUUAGAAAACAUUGUCAUAUGAUUUAAACUUGCUAUGUUUAUCAUGUUGGUCCUGUGAUGACUCAGAAUUCCUUAAAUGACUUUUUCCUCUCCCUUCAAACAAAAUCUUAGCAGUACCACUGCAGAAUACCAGUGUGAAAUAUCAUAAAGCAGGUUAUUCCAGCCAAGAAUCCGAGGUGAGGCCAGCUUUAAAUUGUUGAGGCACAUUAAAGUCAAAUCAGUGGUGAGAAUGCUGACAGCUCCUCCUCAGAAAAGAUGUCUCUGUGGCACAUUUAAAAAUCAUAUCCCCCAGUGAAGAUGAUUAAGAACUUGGACAUAUUCGUAUCUGUGGCCACAGAGGAGAAAAAGGGAUCAUUUUCAUCACAGGUCAGUGCUGAGCACCCUGAACUCCUUUGAAUAGCUGUCCCUUUCUUAAUUCGUCCAAGGAUUCUUAAUUUAUUUUGCUUAUUAUCAGAAGCGUCUCCCCCCUUGAGGAAACAUAAAAUUUAUUAAGAGAAUUGUAACUUAAAAUAUUCAGAGCACUCCUGGCAUCUUUACUUAAAUGGAUGCAAGAAAUUUUACUGCAAGAAAGUAUAUAUUGAUCCCUGUAGCUGACUUGUCAUGUUUAGUAUUUUUCUCUUUGCACAAGAAGAAUAGCUUCUGUAAUGUGAAUUUAAAUGAUACAUCAAGCUAAUAAAUGUGGUUGGCCUAGCAAGUGAUAAGCAUAACUAACUCAAUUUAAAUGUCUUUUAUAUAAAAAAUAAUGAACCAGUGCAUUAAAGAUUAAAAAUGUUAAUGCAGUUAGCAAAAAUUAGCAUUCAAUAAAGAAGUGUGUUUCAGUUUUGAGAUGGAUGAUACAUCAUUCAAUGACCAGAUAAGGACUAAAUUCAGGUACACUUUAUUCAGCUGGUGUGUAUGUUAAAAACCAAAUAAAUAAAAAUUAAAUGCUUUAUUUGCCCCUUUGCAACAACGUGGGUGGAACUAGAGGGUAUUAUGCUAAGCGAAAUAAGUCAGUCAGAGAAAGACAAUUAUCAUAUAUAAUCUCACUCGUAUGUGGAAUUUAAGAAACAAAACAGGAUCAUAGGGGAAGGGAGGAAAAAGUAAAACAAGACAAAACCAGAGAGGGAGACAAACCAUAAGAGACUCUUAAUCAUAGGGAACAAACUGAGGGUUGCUGGAGGGGAGGGGUUACAGGAAUGGGGUAACUGGGUGAUAGACAUUUAGGAGGGCACGUGAUGUAAUGAGCACUGGGUAUUAUAUAAGACUGAUGAAUCACUGACCUCUACCUAGACAUGAAACCAGUAAUACAUUAUAUGUUAAGUAAUUGAAUUUAAAUUAAAAAAAAGUAAAUGCUUUAUUUGAAGAAACUUUGAUAAAACAGUAUGUGGCAUGUAGACAAAAGGACACGCAGGUCCUUGGGGACUGUGCCAGAAACCAGGGCAUGAGGUGACUUAAAACAUAUUGUCACCUGCCUCCUUGUGGGGGAGGUAGAGGGGAUGUAGCAGGUGUGACAGUGAACGUGGGACUGGAGGGGAAAUGAAUUUUCCUGGCUUCACUGCUAAAUAAAGUGAGCAUUUUUGGUUUGGGGACGCUGACUUUAAAACAGUGGAGUAUACAGUGGUGUCGCUAUUUGCCUUAAUGUCGCUGUGGCGUCUUGUCACUCUAUGCUCAUCUGCAGGUGGAUGGCAAGCAUUCCGAUGAGGCAGCCUUGAUCCUCCACAGGAAGGGGUUUGACUGCCGCUUCUCGAGCAGAGACACGGGGCUGCUUUGUUCCACAACCCAGGGAAAGAUUUUGGUACAGAAGCUUUUUAGCAUGUUUACUGUCGCAAGUCUCAUACCUUCAUCAUUAUCCUUGAUGCAUUCACCUCCAGACGCCCAAAAUAUAAGUGAGAUCAACUUGAGUCCCAUGGAAAUCAGCACAUUCCGAAUCCAGUUGAGAUGAACCUGGCUUUCAAAUUUGGAUUGGGAAGCAUUGUCUUUUAUACACUUCUUGGUUUGACGUGCAAUAAGGAAGCACAUUAUUUUAGCUUCUGGCUACUGUGAGGACAUGGAUUCUGUGAUUGUUAUUAUAAUUAUUAUUAUAAUUAUUUUUUUUUUUUACUAGUACAGAAAGAAAAAAAAAAGCCAUGCUAUAGCCAGUUUUUCUUUAAGUUCCAUCCAUGAAUCACCACCAUCAGUAUGAAUCGAUGCAACAAUGAAGGAAGAAAUGUCUAAAACAACCUCUCCAUAGAUUGUAUCUCAGGUUAAAUGCUAACUAACUAUAUCUGUGUCGGGAGUUGUGAAGAGAUUGUUAUAAGUAUUCAUGUUGCUGAUCCUUCAUUAGUUUUACAAAAAUACCCAUUUUUACCAAAAUGGAAUAAAAAGCUGAAGGGUAAUAGCUAAUGGCCAAAAUGGUUGCAAUCGUUCAUACGCAUUCGAAAAAUUUUGUGUAUUGAAAUAUGUGGAAAAGUGCAAUCCAUCAACCCUUAUGAUAUCUGUACAUCAUUGAUCUUCACACCUUUUUCUAAUGUACCACUUGACCCCUCCCUUCUCACUCUUUGUAUUUCCAGAAAUAGCAGAUUUUGAAUCAUUCAAUAGUAGAAAAAGAGGCAUAUUUUCAUUACUUGACAAUGUGGGAUAGGUGCAAUUUAUUCCAUUGUCACUAAGAUAGAAAAAGCAAUCCCAUAGGUACCAUAACCUCUUUUAGGUACCACAAGGUGUCUUUUUGCACAGCUCAUUUGAAUACAGAUGUUCGGAGAGGGGUUUUCUAUUUUAAAAAUAACCAUAUCAAAAUAAAUGUGCCUUAUUUUUUUAUAA